rnacentral:rRNA from 1 species
GACAGAGGGUGCAAACGUUGUUCGGAAUUACUGGGCGUAAAGCGCGUGUAGGCGGCUGCGUGUGUCGGGCGUGAAAUCCCAUGGCUCAACCAUGGAAGUGCACCCGAAACUGCGUAGCUAGAGUCCUGGAGAGGAAGGUGGAAUGCUUGGUGUAGAGGUGAAAUUUGUAGAUAUCAAGCGGAACACCGGUGGCGAAGGCGGCCUUCUGGACAGUGACUGACGCUGAGACGGCGAAAAGCGUGGGGAGCAAACAGG